rnacentral:rRNA from 1 species
AGAAUCAACGCUGGCGGCGUGCCUAACACAUGCAAGUCGAACGAGAAAGUGGAGCAAUCCAUGAGUACAGUGGCGCACGGGUGAGUAACACGUGACUAACCUACCCUUGAGUGGGGGAUAACUGAGGGAAACCUUAGCUAAUACCGCAUAAUACCUACGGGUCAAGGGAGCAAUUCGCUUAAGGAGGGGGUCGCGGCCGAUUAGUUAGUUGGCGGGGUAAUGGCCCACCAAGACGAUGAUCGGUAUCCGGCCUGAGAGGGCGCACGGACACACUGGAACUGAAACACGGUCCAGACUCCUACGGGAGGCAGCAGUGGGGAAUUUUGCGCAAUGGGGGAAACCCUGACGCAGCAACGCCGCGUGGAGGAUGAAGUCCCUCGGGACGUAAACUCCUUUCGAUCGGGACGAUUAUGACGGUACCGGAAGAAGAAGCCCCGGCUAACUUCGUGCCAGCAGCCGCGGUAAUACGAGGGGGGCGAGCGUUGUUCGGAAUUAUUGGGCGUAAAGGGUGCGUAGGCGGUUUGGUAAGUCUUGUGUGAAAUCUCCAGGCUCAACUUGGAGUCUGCACGAGAAACUGCCGGGCUUGAGUGUGGGAGAGGUGAGUGGAAUUCCUGGUGUAGCGGUGAAAUGCGUAGAUAUCAGGAGGAACACCGGUGGCGAAGGCGGCUUCCUGGACCGAUACUGACGCUGAGACGCGAAAGCGUGGGGAGCAAACAGGAUUAGAUACCCUGGUAGUCCACGCCGUAAACGGUGAGCACUAGGUGUAGCGGGUAUUGACCCCUGCUGUGCCGCAGCUAACGCAUUAAGUGCUCCGCCUGGGGAGUACGGUCGCAAGAUUAAA